rnacentral:rRNA from 1 species
GACGAACGCUGGCGGCGUGCUUAACACAUGCAAGUCGAACGGAAAGGCCCUGCUUUUGUGGGGUGCUCGAGUGGCGAACGGGUGAGUAACACGUGAGUAACCUGCCCUUGACUUUGGGAUAACUUCAGGAAACUGGGGCUAAUACCGGAUAGGAGCUCCUGCUGCAUGGUGGGGGUUGGAAAGUUUCGGCGGUUGGGGAAGGACUCGCGGCUUAUCAGCUUGUUGGUGGGGUAGUGGCUUACCAAGGCUUUGACGGGUAGCCGGCCUGAGAGGGUGACCGGCCACAUUGGGACUGAGAUACGGCCCAGACUCUUACGGGAGGCAGCAGUGGGGAAUAUUGCACAAUGGGCGGAAGCCUGAUGCAGCAACGCCGCGUGCGGGAUGACGGCCUUCGGGUUGUAAACCGCUUUCGCCUGUGACGAAGCGUGAGUGACGGUAAUGGGUAAAGAAGCACCGGCUAACUACGUG